GUCUCAGUUGUUGGUUUGUUGUUUUAAUGGACCCAGAAAGGCUCUGCUAGGCUAUUCUAGCAAAAGAGUAAACAUCAAAAUUUAUCAUGAGCUUUCACAGGCUCAGAGAGAACAGAGUACAAAAUGGGACAACAGGAAAAUGCAGAAACACACUGAUGGUGGAAGAUUAUUACAGAAGUUAAUUUCAACAGAUGCCUUUAGCAUGUCAAGCGUUUCAAAAUGUAGAAUUAUCAGCCUUCAGGUGCUGCAAAGAGAAGUUUACUUGAUGGGGGAUGAUCUAAGGCUUGGGAAUCAUCAUGGAAGAAGGGUUGAGAAUAUUGCCAGAGCCAGAGGAACGGGGAUUGCUGUGAGAUUGUAUCUACAAGGAAUUUUAAAAUCUACUCUCUUCAAGUUUCAGCAACAUGGUGACCUAAACACAAGCUAAACAAGUACAAUACUAAUAGGUACGUGAAUAUGGAUGUGUUAAGGCCAGGAGACCAAAAACAUAGACAAAGGACUACAGACAAAUAAGGAAUGCAGAGAAUAAGAGAAAAACGCUUUCCUAGGAAAGGUACACCAAUUGGUUAUCAAAAAACUAAUGGUCAUCCCAGAGUACACAUACAAAUAACAUUAUAUGGACUGAUAAGAUUAUAUUUAUGUAUUAAGGAUAUAGAUAUAUUCAAAAUUAAUGAAAGAAGGAAUGUACGGGACAUUUAGAGGGGCAAAGAGAAGGCAAAAUGAUGUAAUUACAUUAGAAUCUAAUGUCUUUCUAAUAUGUAGAUGACAGUGGAAGGUUUUAAAGAUGUAUAUGUGUCUUUAAAAUAGUAUAAAAUUCUUGGAUGUAUUUAUUAUAAAACUCAAAGUGUAAUACUAAAAUUUCAAAGACUUUUUAUCAAAAGGAAACAAAUAUGAAAAGCACGUAAAGAUACUCCAUUUUAAUUUUCUUGUUGUAAAUUAGGGUUGGUAUGUGAAAGGUCUUAUUAGUUACCAAGAACAAUUAUUCUUAGUAUAUCUCUAAGUUUGUGCUACAAUGUAAAUGCUUAGUAAGCUGAUUUAAAAAUUAAAAUGGCAACAAUGAGUAUAUAAAUGAAUUAGAAACAAGACAGUCAUUUUAAAGGAGAGCAUUAGUAUUUUCAGAAUGAGUUAAGUAGACCCUGUCUUCGAUGUAUAAUUCUCUUGCUUAAAGCUACAUGGGAGAAUGACAUUAAUUUGUCCCUGGUCUACGUGUCUAUUAUUCCCCAUCCUAGAUGCCAGCCUUUGUUUCCUCCAUAGAAUAUCAUCUACUAAAAAAAGCAUAUUGAAUGCUCUUUCAAACAUCUUUAAAAUUAUAUAAUUAAUCAAAUGAACAUUUAAUUUAAUCUUGCACACAUAAUGCUCAAGGAAAACAAAUUCUUUUAAAAUAAAUGUGCUGAAACCUGGUGUCCUUGAAGACAGAAUCUACUGUGUAUUUCCCUUGAUCUCCUGUUUGAAAUAAGAGUAUCUACUUGACCAAAGUCACAACAGCUAAAAGAAGCAACAGUGGAAGAAAUUAAUCCACUCUGCAGGACUCUGCCUAUCAACAGGGCUUAAGGAUGACUUCUGCUCUGCAUUAUGGUUCUGUUGAUUUAUGGUGUUUACAGCAGUCUGGUCGCAUGCCUGGAAAAAUACUUUCCAUAAAAUGUAACUAAUUACACACAUGCACGCACACACACAUAUAUGCUUUCUCUCUCACACACAUAAAUACACACACACACACACACACACACACACACACACACACACACACACACGUGCGCACGUCGAACAUAUGCCCUCUCAUUUGCUAUGCAAGAACACUGCUUUGAUUCACAGUACUGUGAUUUCUUUGUUUGAGGUGUGUGCUUCUGUGUUAACAAGUGUGCAUCCUGCAUCUGUUUAUGUAUGUGGGUAUGUUUUUAUGCUCCUGUGUGUGUAUGUUUGUGUGUGUGUGUGUGUGUGUGUGUGUGUGUGUGUGUGUGUGUGUGUGUGCGUGCGCGCGCCCGUGCGCGCGUACAUGCAGGGGAGAUAUCUAGAUAGCAAUGUCAGGCUCUCCAUUUUAUUUUUGAGACAGGAUCUCUCGCUGAACCUGUCGUUCUCUCACUGAGGUAGACUGCUUACCCAUGGGGCCUUGUGGUCCUUCUGUCUCUACCAGUGCAGGCAUAUUUCCUUACAGCUCCACAUUUGGCUUUUGCAUGAGCACUGGAGAUCUGAACUCUGGUCCUCAAGCUUUUCCGACAAGCACUUUAGCCACAGAGCCACCUUUCAGGUUCCAGUACUAUAUAAUUUCUAAAAAUAAUAUGUGUAGGAUUCAUGUAGACCAUUUCAGUGAUUUUGUCAAUUUUUCAACCAGUUCACAUAGCACUUACUUAAAACACAGACAUAAAAUAAGUAUAUGAGGGACAAAACCAAAAGAAAUUCACAGGUAGUUUUCCUCUGUCUCUAUAGGAUCACAGGUCCAUCAAAUAACUUGCCAACUUUAAUCUACAAGAACAAUUUCUACAGCAAUGUGUGUGUGUGUGUGUUUUUAUUAAAAUCUUUCAUCAUAUUGGGGCUAUUCUCCAGUGGAAAGUUGGAGUCUAAAUGAAAGAAGUUUGCCAUUGUUUUCUUUUGAUAGGCCUUAUAUUACGGUCAAAACAUAUUAACUUACAAACCACACACACACACACACACACACACACACACACACACACACACACACAAAGAGAGGGAUAGGCAGAGACAGAAAGACAGAGACAGAGAGACAGAUACACAGAGGUGUGGAGGGAGGGAGAAGAAGGGGUAUAUAAAUCACCAAACCCUGUCCAGUUAGAGAUAGUUGAAUACAUUGUAUUAAUAUUGACUCCUGAAUUUUUUCUAACACUCAGAACAUAUCUCCAAAGAAUUUACUUCAAUUAUCUGAAGGAAGAUAGAAGGUUUAUAGGCAAAUUGUUUAUUCUUACAUCUCUUGUUUUUCAUUAAAUGGGAAAAUGAGUCUCAGAAAACAGAAGCCAUUGGCUAUUAGCAAUGCAGCAUGACAGGAUCAAAAACAAAGGCCUUAUGAAGAGACCUCACUAUCCCACCAUGUGGAAGUAACACAGGCUUUAUACAAAGCUUGAUUAGAAGACAAAACAGACACCCUAGCUUCACUUUGUAGGUUUCGUUUUAACUCGACCCUCUAAUCUUCUAUUGAUAUUGGCUGUUUGAGGAGCACCUUGAAGCAAGUAUCAUUGUCUACUUCUGUAUUACCCAAAAUGAUAAUUAUGAUUAUUGUUUCAUUUCACUAUUGAUUUACUCAUGCAUGAAUAAAACAAGUGAAAAUACAUCAUUAUUCAUCUGCUUAUUUACAUGCAUAAACUCUGAAAUAGCUUUGACUAAACUAUUCUGAAAUCUUCUCUUGCCAAAACCUUGAGGGAAAGUCUCUCUCUCUCUCUCUCUCUCUCUCUCUCUCUCUCUCUCUUCUGUGUGUGUGUGAAAGAUCAUGUCAAUAUUACCAUUAUUAAAGAUUGACUUGAACUCUGAACACAGUCUAUAUGAAUAUAUGAAUGGAUAACUAGUCUAUAUGACUGAGCAGUUAAAGAUUUUAAUGAGUAGAUUCCAUGUUUUUUCCUAUUAUUUUUAUUCCAU
ensembl:lncRNA